GACAGAGGAGCCAAGCGUUGUCCGGAUUGACUGGGCGUAAAGCGCUCGCAGGUGGUUCGAUACGUCGUGCGUGAAAGACCCCGGCUCAACUGGGGAGUGUCGUGCGAUACGGUCGGACUGGAGGCCAGUAGGGGGAUGCGGAAUUCCGGGUGUAGUGGUGGAAUGCGUAGAGAUCCGGAGGAACACCAGGGCGAAGGCGGCAUCCUGGACUGGUCCUGACACUCAUGAGCGAAAGCGUGGGGAGCGAUCCGG
rnacentral:rRNA from 1 species